UACGGGGGGGGCAAGCGUUGUUCGGAAUUACUGGGCGUAAAGGGCGCGUAGGCGGCCUUCUAAGUCGAACGUGAAAUCCCCGGGCUCAACCCGGGAACUGCGUCCGAUACUGGCGGGCUUGAAUCCGGGAGAGGGAUGCGGAAUUCCAGGUGUAGCGGUGAAAUGCGUAGAUAUCGGGAGGAACACCAGAGGCGAAGGCGGCGCACUGGACGGUAACUGACACUCAAUUGCGAAAGCGUGGGGAGCAAACAGG
rnacentral:rRNA from 1 species